ensembl:lncRNA
AUACACAAUAACAUCUUUCAGAAACAUGACUUUCAAUCAAAUGCCACAUUUAGUGCACAAUGCUAGUGAGCCUCUACUGCCCUCUUGUGAUCUUUACUGGUAAAUUGGGUCUGAGUGCUGAGACUCACCUCCAGGUUCAGCCCGAGCAGCUCGUUCAUGAUGGAGUCCAGCUCUCGAGUGGCCGUUCCCGGACUCAUCACCUCGGCCGAGACCGGAGAAGGCAACUGACUGAGAAUGUACAAGAAUGAUUAGAGAAACCAUUUUAUCCGGCGUUUCCAGCUAAACGGGAAACCUUGAUUGACAUGAAGUCCAAAACAUCAAAGAGUCUACAUCGGAGAAGCCGUCGUCCGUAACGACGUCUUCAAGACACUUCCUGUAUGCAGAAACGAAUGAGCCGCAGCAUCCAGGUGUGAUUUUGGCGCGUUCAAAAUGACAGUUAUAUACCGUAUGAUAUAUGUAAGCGUAGGUUUAAACACGACAAGUGUGUGUAGACCGUAGCCUAUAUUAACUGCUCCUAGUGCGAAAUAACUUCUUCAUUCUGAUCAUUCUUGAGCAGCAUGUUUCCUCCAAAGAUGAAAUCAAGCCUACGGUGUUGAAUAGAGACUGAACGUGAUAUGUAGCUUUUUUUUUUUUUUAAAGGGACGGUAGAUUUUUGAUUGGCGAUUUGGUCCUGUGUGCCUGUUAGAGGGGGGAAAAAUGGGAAUAUAAAACAAAGAGCGUGAUCCUACAAAAAGGUUAAAAGAUUAACAGAUUCAAUAGGAUUUUAUGAUUAUGAUUUCACCAUGCAUUAUGUUUGUUGGGUUCUUUUGCAAGUAUAACCAUGAUGCAGUAAAAUGAUCAUAUUACCAUGGAAGGUACAAACAGGAAAUGUUGCAAGAAGAUUUGGCACAUAGUGUGUGUGUGUGUUUUUUUUUAACGCACGGCAAGACGUCAAGCGACAAGAAGCGAUAUCGCACAACUUCACGUGUAAUAACUUAAACACGAGGAUGUUAAAGGCGAUCCGUUGCCCUAAAAUCCGAUCUAUAAAGCCUAACGCGGGUAGUCCGAGAGCCGCCAAUCCCUAAGAGAGCCCAG